GGAGCGAUCCACGAGUGGCGGACGGGUGAGUAACGCGUGGGAACCUGCCCUGGAGUGUGGGAUAACCGAGGGAAACUUCGGCUAAUACCGCAUACGACCUGAGGGUGAAAGAUUUAUCGCUCUAGGAGGGGCCCGCGUCGGAUUAGCUAGUUGGUGGGGUAAUGGCCUACCAAGGCAGUGAUCCGUAGCUGGUCUGAGAGGAUGAUCAGCCACACUGGGACUGAGACACGGCCCAGACUCCUACGGGAGGCAGCAGUGGGGAAUAUUGGACAAUGGGGGCAACCCUGAUCCAGCAAUGCCGCGUGAGUGAUGAAGGCCUUAGGG
rnacentral:rRNA from 1 species